AGCGAACGCUGGCGGCAGGCUCAACACAUGCAAGUCGAGCGGGCCCUUCGGGGUCAGCGGCGGACGGGUGAGUAACGCGUGGGAACGUGCCUUCUGGUCUGGAAUAACCCUGGGAAACUAGGGCUAAUACCGGAUACGCCCUUUUGGGGAAAGGUUUACUGCCGGAAGAUCGGCCCGCGUCUGAUUAGCUAGUUGGUGGGGUAACGGCCUACCAAGGCGACGAUCAGUAGCUGGUCUGAGAGGAUGAUCAGCCACACUGGGACUGAGACACGGCCCAGACUCCUACGGGGAGGCAGCAGUGGGGAAUAUUGGACAAUGGGCGCAAGCCUGAUCCAGCCCAUCGCCG
rnacentral:rRNA from 1 species